rnacentral:snRNA from 1 species
CUAACUUCGCUACAGGAUCAAGUGUAGUAUCUGUUCUUCAUAGUUUAAUCGCUGUGACCGGUCUACGGACCGUCUCUCAUGAUUAUUCUACUUUUUGGAACUGGCUGGGAGAUGCUCUGGGCUUGCUCAUCAUCUUCUGGCACAGUGUCGCUCGUAUUGCACUACUUCGGGCUGACGCGAAUCACU